GACGAACGCUGGCGGCGUGCUUAACACAUGCAAGUCGAACGGUAAGGCCCUUUCGGGGGUACACGAGUGGCGAACGGGUGAGUAACACGUGCGUAACCUGCCCACAACUUUGGGAUAACGCUAGGAAACUGGUGCUAAUACUGGAUAUGUGCUCCUUCUUCAUGGGGGGGGUUGGAAAGCUCCGGCCGUUGUGGAUGGACUCGCGGGCUAUCAGCUUGUUGGUGGGGUGGUGGCCUACCAAGGCGGCGUCGGGUGGCCGGCCUGGGGGGGUGACCGGCCACAUUGGGACUGAGGUACGGCCCAGACUCCGACGGGUGGCAGCAGUGGGGAAUAUUGCACAAUGGGCGCAAGCCUGAUGCAGCAGCGCCGCGUGCGGGAUGACGGCCUUCGGGUUGUAAAACGCUUUCAGCAGGGACGAAGCUUUUUGUGACGGUACCUACAGAAGAAGCACCGGCUAACUACGUG
rnacentral:rRNA from 1 species